GAUUUACGGAGUAAGGACUCCAGCCUGAGAUGAGGUACACAAGUGCUAACAUCCUGCAUCUAUAUGGCCCCUUCAGAAAAUCCAAUGGCAGGACCUUACCAUCAACUACCCCCUUGAAGGAAUGGGCCAUUUAUCUGGACACCAGAUAUCUUUCCUCUGGAGUACCUGCACUGGACACCUACCACAGAAACCACAAGCUUGGCUUCCUCCUCCCAAAACCCAGUCAGGUUCCCAGACAUCUUCUAAUGACCUUUCGUAUAGCAGCCCAAAACCACAU